AAGGGUGGGGAUGACGUCAAGUCCUCAUGGCCCUUAUAGGUGGGGCUACACACGUCAUACAAUGGCCGGUACAGAGGGUAGCCAACCCGCGAGGGGGAGCCAAUCCCACAAAGCCGGUCGUAGUCCGGAUCGCAGUCUGCAACUCGACUGCGUGAAGUCGGAAUCGCUAGUAAUCGCGGAUCAGCAUGUCGCGGUGAAUACGUUCCCGGGUCUU
rnacentral:rRNA from 1 species